rnacentral:rRNA from 1 species
GAUGAACGCUGGCGGCGUGCCUAAUACAUGCAAGUCGAGCGAACAGACGAGGCGCUUGCUCCUCUGACGUUAGCGGCGGACGGGUGAGUAACACGUGUAUAACCUACCUAUAAGACUGGGAUAACUUCGGGAAACCGGAGCUAAUACCGGAUAAUAUAUUGAACCGCAUGGUUCAAUAGUGAAAGACGGUUUUGCUGUCACUUAUAGAUGGAUCCGCGCCGCAUUAGCUAGUUGGUAAGGUAACGGCUUACGAAGGCGACGAUGCGUAGCCGAACUGAGAGGGUGAUCGGCCACACUGGAACUGAGACACGGUCCAGACUCCUACGGGAGGCAGCAGUAGGGAAUCUUCCGCAAUGGGCGAAAGCCUGACGGAGCAACGCCGAGUGAGUGAUGAAGGUCUUCGGAUCGUAAAACUCUGUUAUUAGGGAAGAACAAAUGUGUAAGUAACUAUGCACGGCUUGACGGUACCUAAUCAGAAAGCCACGGCUAACUACGUG